AACGUAGGAGACAAACGUUAUCCGGAGUUACUGGGCGUAAAGGGCGUGUAGGUGGUAUCGUAAGUCUGGCGUGAAAUUUCUCGGCUUAACCGAGGCAGGUCGUCGGAUACUGCGAGGCUAGAGGACGGUAGAGGCGUGUGGAAUUCCGGGGUGUAGUGGUGAAAUGCGUAGAGAUCCGGAGGAACACCAGUGGCGAAGGCGACACGCUGGGCCGUACCUGACACUGAUGCGCGACAGCAUGGGGGAGCAAACAGG
rnacentral:rRNA from 1 species